UGGGGCCAUUAAUAGAGCAAUAAUGGGGCGUAAACAAGACUGCUAAUUUAUGGAGGACAUGGUCAAAUGCACCCAUUUUAAUUUCUUCAAUGCAUGCCUCCAUAUCUUCGAAGUAGAAAAUAAAAGUAGGUGCAUUCUACUGUCUUCCUUCACCACAUACCUCUAUAAUCUACAACUUACAAAUCCAAUCUACAAACUACACACACACACACACACACACACACANNNNNNNNNNACUGCUUGAAUAAUAUUACCAGCAAAGUGCAUGCUGCAAAGAUAUGAUGUUUCUGGUAAACUUGCAC
rnacentral:misc_RNA from 1 species